rnacentral:rRNA from 1 species
CCUACGGGUGGCAGCAGUGGGGAAUAUUGCACAAUGGGGGAAACCCUGAUGCAGCGACGCCGCGUGAGUGAAGAAGUAUUUCGGUAUGUAAAGCUCUAUCAGCAGGGAAGAAAAUGACGGUACCUGACUAAGAAGCUCCGGCUAACUACGUGCCAGCAGCCGCGGUAAUACGUAGGGGGCAAGCGUUAUCCGGAUUUACUGGGUGUAAAGGGAGCGUAGACGGUGAUGCAAGUCAGAAGUGAAAGCCCGGGGCUCAACUCCGGGACUGCUUUUGAAACUGUGUGACUGGAGUGAAGGAGAGGUAGGCGGAAUGCCUGGUGUAGCGGUGAAAUGCGUAGAUAUCAGGAGGAACACCAGUGGCGAAGGCGGCUUACUGGACUGUAACUGACGUUGAGGCUCGAAAGCGUGGGGAGCAAACAGGAUUAGAUACCCCGGUAGUC